rnacentral:ncRNA from 1 species
GUUUUAUUAUUAAAUUUACAUGAUAGUAAAAACUUGUUUAAGAUGUAUUAUUAAUUUGAUAAUAUAUUGUAAAAGUUUAAAGAAGUUUAUAAUUCUUUAAUUCUCAGUAUAAAAGUUUGUUAUAAUUUAUUUAAAUAUUUAUAUAUGAAAAUAUGACAUAGUAAUUAAUAAGCAAAUUUGAUAAAUAUUUGUGCCAGCAUUCGCGGUUAUACUUUGUAGUUGAGCAAGAUGAUUAGUGUUUAGUUAAAUGGUUUUAUUCAAUUUAUAUUAUUAUUAAUAAAAGGUGAAAUUAGAUUUGUUAUUAUAUAAUUAAAUUAGAAUUAUAAUUGAAGCUAGUAAAAUUUAGUUAUAAACUAGGAUUAGAUACCCUAUUAUUCUAAAUUUAAAUUUAAUAAACUUAAUGUAAUAGAUAUUUUCUUUAAAAUUAAAGAAUUUGGCGGUUAUUUAAUCUUAUCAGAGGAACUUGUUUUAUAAUCGAUAAACCACGUAAAAUCUUACUUAUUUUAAUAUAUAGUGUUUGUAUACCGUCAUUAUUAGAUAAUUUUUAAAAAAUUAAUUAUUUUAAUUAAAAUUUUAAGUAAAUUAGAUCAUGGUGCAGCUUAUAAAUAAGUAAAAAUGAGUUACAAUAAAUUUUUUUUAAUAUGGAAUAAUAAAUGAAUAUUUGUUAAGAAGGAGGAUUUGAUUGUAUUAUUUUUUUAAUAUGUAAAUAAUAUAUAAGCUCUAAGUUAUGUACAUAUCGCCCGUCGCUUUCAUUUAUAAAUGGAAUAAGUCGUAACAUAGUAAAUAUACUGGAAAGUGUAUUUAGAA